rnacentral:misc_RNA from 1 species
CAUACAGUCCAGACAUUCAUACAUAUAGGAAUGAAACAUAAAUAAGUUCAAUGUCCACAGUGGUCAAGGCACUUGGGAGUGCCUGAAAUUGGACCUUCAUGUCAUUGGAGGAUAAUUAAUGGCAACAACAAAGACUAAACUUUAAUUCUGUUUUGCCUUUCACUCCUAUAUGAACCUAAUUUCGCAUCAAUAUUGAAAAAUUAUAAAUUUUUUAAAACCAUUUUCCUCCACAUCACACUUUUUAAGAACAAUCUUUCCAAACAAACAUAUAGAAACCGUACAAUAUGAAACCAUCCCAAACCAUGAUCCAAACAUAGUGUUUGAGUUUUUGAGACCUAGGGACUUGAAUGUGUACUAUAUGGAUAAUUGUGCAUGAGUGAAUCAUAAAGCUUACAUUAUUUACCCCUGUUGCAUCACUGAUUGAGGAAGGUUGCACUGUUUAUGGUCUUAUCCAGUUUUAUGAUUGAUGGCCCUAUGUUUUUUGGAAGAACAGAAAAAUGUCUUCUGUGUCUUUAUUCUUUAAUGUAUUGAGUUAAUUAUGUUUUUCUGGGUUUUAAUUUUGUCAUCUUGGUGUGUUUUUGUUUUUUUUAGUAGAAAUGGCUGAAGAAAUUAAGACAGCAGCUUUUAUCCCUGAAUCUGUGUUAAAGAAAAGGAAGAGAAGUGAAGAUUGGGCUUUGUUGAAGAUCCAGGAAUUAAAGACAAAGAAGGAAAAAAAUGCUGAAA